GAUGAACGCUGGCGGCGUGCCUAAUACAUGCAAGUCGAGCGAACGGACGAGAAGCUUGCUUCUCUGAUGUUAGCGGCGGACGGGUGAGUAACACGUGGAUAACCUACCUAUAAGACUGGGAUAACUUCGGGAAACCGGAGCUAAUACCGGAUAAUAUUUUGAACCGCAUGGUUCAAAAGUGAAAGACGGUCUUGCUGUCACUUAUAGAUGGAUCCGCGCUGCAUUAGCUAGUUGGUAAGGUAACGGCUUACCAAGGCAACGAUGCAUAGCCGACCUGAGAGGGUGAUCGGCCACACUGGAACUGAGACACGGUCCAGACUCCUACGGGAGGCAGCAGUAGGGAAUCUUCCGCAAUGGGCGAAAGCCUGACGGAGCAACGCCGCGUGAGUGAUGAAGGUCUUCGGAUCGUAAAACUCUGUUAUUAGGGAAGAACAUAUGUGUAAGUAACUGUGCACAUCUUGACGGUACCUAAUCAGAAAGCCACGGCUAACUACGUGCCAGCAGCCGCGGUAAUACGUAGGUGGCAAGCGUUAUCCGGAAUUAUUGGGCGUAAAGCGCGCGUAGGCGGUUUUUUAAGUCUGAUGUGAAAGCCCACGGCUCAACCGUGGAGGGUCAUUGGAAACUGGAAAACUUGAGUGCAGAAGAGGAAAGUGGAAUUCCAUGUGUAGCGGUGAAAUGCGCAGAGAUAUGGAGGAACACCAGUGGCGAAGGCGACUUUCUGGUCUGUAACUGACGCUGAUGUGCGAAAGCGUGGGGAUCAAACAGGAUUAGAUACCCUGGUAGUCCACGCCGUAAACGAUGAGUGCUAAGUGUUAGGGGGUUUCCGCCCCUUAGUGCUGCAGCUAACGCAUUAAGCACUCCGCCUGGGGAGUACGACCGCAAGGUUGAAACUCAAAGGAAUUGACGGGGACCCGCACAAGCGGUGGAGCAUGUGGUUUAAUUCGAAGCAACGCGAAGAACCUUACCAAAUCUUGACAUCCUUUGACAACUCUAGAGAUAGAGCUUUCCCCUUCGGGGGACAAAGUGACAGGUGGUGCAUGGUUGUCGUUAGCUCGUGUCGUGAGAUGUUGGGUUAAGUCCCGCAACGAGCGCAACCCUUAAGCUUAGUUGCCAUCAUUAAGUUGGGCACUCUAAGUUGACUGCCGGUGACAAACCGGAGGAAGGUGGGGAUGACGUCAAAUCAUCAUGCCCCUUAUGAUUUGGGCUACACACGUGCUACAAUGGACAAUACAAAGGGCAGCGAAACCGUGAGGUCAAGCAAAUCCCAUAAAGUUGUUCUCAGUUCGGAUUGUAGUCUGCAACUCGACUACAUGAAGCCGGAAUCGCUAGUAAUCGUAGAUCAGCAUGCUACGGUGAAUACGUUCCCGGGUCU
rnacentral:rRNA from 1 species